rnacentral:rRNA from 1 species
UGCGCAGGCGGCCUGUUAAGUCAGGGGUGAAAUAUGACGGCUCAACCGUCAAACUGCCCCUGAAACUGCCAGGCUUGAGUCCGGGAGAGGAAGGUGGAAUUCCAGGUGUAGCGGUGAAAUGCGUAAAUAUCUGGAGGAACACCAGUGGCGAAGGCGGCCUUCUGGCCCGGAACUGACGCUCAGGCACGAAAGCAUGGGGAGCGAACAGGAUUAGAUACCCUGGGUAGUCC